GAACCGGCGAGUUACGAUUUGAUGCAAGGUUAAGCAGUAAAUGUGGAGCCGUAGCGAAAGCGAGUCUGAAUAGGGCGUUUAGUAUUUGGUCGUAGACCCGAAACCAGGUGAUCUACCCUUGGUCAGGUUGAAGUUCAGGUAACACUGAAUGGAGGACCGAACCGACUUACGUUGAAAAGUGAGCGGAUGAACUGAGGGUAGCGGAGAAAUUCCAAUCGAACCUGGAGAUAGCUGGUUCUCUCCGAAAUAGCUUUAGGGCUAGCCUCAAGUGAUGAUUAUUGGAGGUAGAGCACUGUUUGGACGAGGGGCCCCUCUCGGGUUACCGAAUUCAGACAAACUCCGAAUGCCAAUUAAUUUAACUUGGGAGUCAGAACAUGGGUGAUAAGGUCCGUGUUCGAAAGGGAAACAGCCCAGACCACCAGCUAAGGUCCCAAAAUAUAUGUUAAGUGGAAAAGGAUGUGGCGUUGCCCAGACAACUAGGAUGUUGGCUUAGAAGCAGCCAUCAUUUAAAGAGUGCGUAAUAGCUCACUAGUCGAGUGACACUGCGCCGAAAAUGUACCGGGGCUAAACAUAUUACCGAAGCUGUGGAUUGUCCUUUGGACAAUGGUAGGAGAGCGUUCUAAGGGCGUUGAAGCAUGAUCGUAAGGACAUGUGGAGCGCUUAGAAGUGAGAAUGCCGGUGUGAGUAGCGAAAGACGGGUGAGAAUCCCGUCCACCGAUUGACUAAGGUUUCCAGAGGAAGGCUCGUCCGCUCUGGGUUAGUCGGGUCCUAAGCUGAGGCCGACAGGCGUAGGCGAUGGAUAACAGGUUGAUAUUCCUGUACCACCUAUAAUCGUUUUAAUCGAUGGGGGGACGCAGUAGGAUAGGCGAAGCGUGCGAUUGGAUUGCACGUCUAAGCAGUAAGGCUGAGUAUUAGGCAAAUCCGGUACUCGUUAAGGCUGAGCUGUGAUGGGGAGAAGACAUUGUGUCUUCGAGUCGUUGAUUUCACACUGCCGAGAAAAGCCUCUAGAUAGAAAAUAGGUGCCCGUACCGCAAACCGACACAGGUAGUCAAGAUGAGAAUUCUAAGGUGAGCGAGCGAACUCUCGUUAAGGAACUCGGCAAAAUGACCCCGUAACUUCGGGAGAAGGGGUGCUCUUUAGGGUUAACGCCCAGAAGAGCCGCAGUGAAUAGGCCCAAGCGACUGUUUAUCAAAAACACAGGUCUCUGCUAAACCGUAAGGUGAUGUAUAGGGGCUGACGCCUGCCCGGUGCUGGAAGGUUAAGAGGAGUGGUUAGCUUCUGCGAAGCUACGAAUCGAAGCCCCAGUAAACGGCGGCCGUAACUAUAACGGUCCUAAGGUAGCGAAAUUCCUUGUCGGGUAAGUUCCGACCCGCACGAAAGGCGUAACGAUUUGGGCACUGUCUCAACGAGAGACUCGGUGAAAUCAUAGUACCUGUGAAGAUGCAGGUUACCCGCGACAGGACGGAAAGACCCCGUGGAGCUUUACUGUAGCCUGAUAUUGAAAUUCGGCACAGCUUGUACAGGAUAGGUAGGAGCCUUUGAAACGUGAGCGCUAGCUUACGUGGAGGCGCUGGUGGGAUACUACCCUAGCUGUGUUGGCUUUCUAACCCGCACCACUUAUCGUGGUGGGAGACAGUGUCAGGCGGGCAGUUUGACUGGGGCGGUCGCCUCCUAAAAGGUAACGGAGGCGCUCAAAGGUUCCCUCAGAAUGGUUGGAAAUCAUUCAUAGAGUGUAAAGGCAUAAGGGAGCUUGACUGCGAGACCUACAAGUCGAGCAGGGUCGAAAGACGGACUUAGUGAUCCGGUGGUUCCGCAUGGAAGGGCCAUCGCUCAACGGAUAAAAGCUACCCCGGGGAUAACAGGCUUAUCUCCCCCAAGAGUUCACAUCGACGGGGAGGUUUGGCACCUCGAUGUCGGCUCAUCGCAUCCUGGGGCUGUAGUCGGUCCCAAGGGUUGGGCUGUUCGCCCAUUAAAGCGGUACGCGAGCUGGGUUCAGAACGUCGUGAGACAGUUCGGUCCCUAUCCGUCGUGGGCGUAGGAAAUUUGAGAGGAGCUGUCCUUAGUACGAGAGGACCGGGAUGGACAUACCUCUGGUGUACCAGUUGUCGUGCCAACGGCAUAGCUGGGUAGCUAUGUGUGGACGGGAUAAGUGCUGAAAGCAUCUAAGCAUGAAGCCCCCCUCAAGAUGAGAUUUCCCAACUUCGGUUAUAAGAUCCCUCAAAGAUGAUGAGGUUAAUAGGUUCGAGGUGGAAGCAUGGUGACAUGUGGAGCUGACGAAUACUAAUCGAUCGAAGACUUAAUCA
rnacentral:rRNA from 1 species